AGCAGUGUAGGAAGGUGGGUAUGUUAAUAGCAUAUUCAUUUGACGUUUAGCUGCAGAAGAAGCACCGGCUAACUCCGUGCCAGCAGCCGCGGUAAUACGGAGGGUGCGAGCGUUAAUCGGAAUUACUGGGCGUAAAGCGCAUGCAGGUGGUUUGUUAAGUCAGAUGUGAAAGCCCGGGGCUCAACCUCGGAAUUGCAUUUGAAACUGGCAAACUAGAGUACUGUAGAGGGGGUAGGAAUUUCAGGUGUAGCGGUGAAAUGCGUAGAGAUCUGAAGGAAUACCGGUGGCGAAGGCGGCCCCCUGGACAGAUACUGACACUCAGAUGCGAAAGCGUGGGGAGCAAACAGGAUUAGAUACCCUCGGUAG
rnacentral:rRNA from 1 species